UGUUGAUCCAGGCAUGCCUAGGCUGGACGUCAGAAAAUGGUGGCUUUAAGUUUUUUGCAGUUUGAAGAUCGGAAACAUCUUGCGAUCCUGUGCUGACAUACUGCGGGAAUCCAAAUGAAAGCUGAUCUCCAUCUUAUUAUGUGGGUCCAUAUUGUGCAAUCACCCACCCUCACCACCCCAGGAAAAGUGUUUCUUGAGGAUACAACUUUAGCUCCAGUAAUGAUUUAUUUGGAUCCAGCUGGGUCACCUGUGAAGAUAAAAUAGAACAGGAAAACUUGAAAAAACAAAUACAGGAAAAUCACAAUUAUUAACAAGGGCAUCUGAAUACCACAGUCACCUGAAUCCAAAGAAGCCGGAUUGUGAAACCUAUGUCUGUACACAUAAUGUCUGUACACAUACCAGCUGUGUCACUAGAGCAAAACAUUGCAGGGAAGAGAUCAUAUUUGUAAUGUAAGCUGUGUUUGUGGACUUUGCCUGCACUGCCUAAGAUGCAACCGGUAAUGUCAGUCUGAGAAUGAUCACCUGCUAGGCAGGGAGGUAGAAGUGAGGACUUGACUUCCAUGUCCUCUCAUCCCCCUAAAUGGCAAUCAGUGUUGAUACUGCUGAUCAUAUUUUUAGUGGAGUGUGUAUAUGCGAUGUGAACACUAUAGCAGGUACACAGCUUUCUGCUACCUUCAUGGUUGUAUGCAUUGCUACCUUAGAGUACAGAAUGGAUUUUAAGUUCAGUAAAACACAAGAUAUUUUGGCAUAUUUGAAAACAACCAUAUACAGUUCUAAGAUACUUGAGAUUUUUUUAAAAAUAGAAAAAAUGGUCAGAGAUUAUGGUUAAAAGGAAACAACAGUAUUUGAUGCACAUAAUCAUGAUAGCAUCAUUUCAGUCUCAAAUAGUCUUGGAUAAAUAUAGCAACUUCGUAUAACAAAUUAAUUUUCAUGUUUGUGGACAUGCCGUCAAGAAAAUCAAGUAUUGUGACACCUUCAGACCAGACAGGGUUUUUUAAAAUUAACUUUAUCUGUAUGUUUCUAACUGUUCUUCAACAUCAGUUUUCAGUGUGAUUCACAGAUAAAAUGGGAGGAAACCCAUAAUACAAAUUAGCAACACAAAAGGCAAAUAAUAUUGUGGUAUGAGCUUUUAUAGGCAGUUUAUUUAUCAUAUGCCCAAAUGCAUAGUUACUUCAUGUGUAUCCACUAUAUACUUAAUGUCAUUUGGUGUUCCUUAAGGAAACAAAUCUUUUAAAUCCUGAACCUAGUAUAAAAUGUAGCUGAAAUUCAAUUAGUGUUGCUCCACUGAUGGAGGGCAUCUGUCAGUGGAUGAAGGGAAUUUUCUGUGGGUUGGGGGAUCCUCUGAAGCAGAUUUUGGAUGGGGCAGUGGGCUUCGGGGGGGAUUACCUAAAAUUCCCAUUCCCUGUUCCACUGAUGUAUGUCUUUUUGUCAGCUGAGUAAUACCAACUAUAUUCCACCUUAUAUGUAAAUAUGUCAUAGCACUAUAACAUCAAUGAUCAAACAUAUUAUAAAAUGUUUUU